CCAAAAGAAAGCUCUCUGGGAGCUGAAACAAUGUGUGGAACAUGUAUUCAACCAUGCUGGCAUCCCAAGACCUGAAAGAAAGAAAACUAAAGUGAAUGUGAAUGCUUUGGAGAAUCCUAACCAAGAGAACCUUGACUAACUUCCUUCCUCAAAAUUGGGGCAGUGGAGCUAUGAGUGAGCAUUUGUACUGGAACCCAAACUCCUAAGGCAUUGCACAACAGUGGUACAAAUAAAUGUUCUUUAUCACAGGAAGUCUAAGAGGUCAGUGUUUACACGGAACGUACAUGAACUUUGAUUGUUCCCAAAGCAAUUUACCUGUAAGGUAAUUUAUGCAGGCUUCUAACACCAAACAUUUAACACCUAACAGUGAGCAGUUUUCUACAAGUAAAUGGGAAAUAAUCACUUUUUAGGUUUUUAAAAGAAGUGACUUUGCUAUUCAAUUCUCCAAAGAAACCCAGCCAGCCACCACCUAUGUUUAGAGGACCAA